UACGAAGGGGGCUAGCGUUGCUCGGAAUCACUGGGCGUAAAGCGCACGUAGGCGGACUCUUAAGUCGGUGGUGAAAUCCUGGAGCUCAACUCCAGAACUGCCUUCGAUACUGAGAGUCUCGAGUCCGGGAGAGGUGAGUGGAACUGCGAGUGUAGAGGUGAAAUUCGUAGAUAUUCGCAAGAACACCAGUGGCGAAGGCGGCUCACUGGCCCGGUACUGACGCUGGAGGUGACGAAAGCGGUGGGGAGCAAACAGG
rnacentral:rRNA from 1 species